rnacentral:rRNA from 1 species
UACGUAGGGGGCAAGCGUUGUCCGGAUUUAUUGGGCGUAAAGAGCGUGUAGGCGGCUUUACAGGUCCGUUGUGAAAACUCGAGGCUCAACCUCGAGACGCCGGUGGAAACCGUAAAGCUAGAGUCCGGAAGAGGAGAGUGGAAUUCCUGGUGUAGCGGUGAAAUGCGUAGAUAUCAAGAGGAACACCUGCGGCGAAGGCGGGUUGCUGGGCCGACACUGACGCUGAAGCGCGAAAGCCAGGGGAGCGAACGGG